AACGAACGCUGGCGGCGUGCCUAACACAUGCAAGUCGUGCGAGAAAGUUCCUUCGGGAGCGAGUAAAGCGGCGCACGGGUGAGUAACACGUAGGUAACCUGCCCCCCAGUCUGGAACAACUAGAGGAAACUCUAGCUAAUGCCGGAUGAGACCACGAUCCCUUCGGGGGGUUGCGGGCCAAAGAUGGCCUCUACUUGUAAGCUAUCGCUGAGGGAUGGGCCUGCGGGCCAUUAGCUUGUUGGUGAGGUAACGGCUCACCAAGGCUGUGAUGGCUAGCUGGUCUGAGAGGAUGACCAGCCACACUGGGACUGAGACACGGCCCAGACUCCUACGGAGGCAGCAGUGGGGAAUAUUGCGCAAUGGGCGAAAGCCUGACGCAGCGACGCCGCGU
rnacentral:rRNA from 1 species